CCCGGCUGCUGCAGCUCCUGGAGCCCCCCCGGCGCCGCCCGGCAUGGGGGGGGCACGGGAACAGCGCCCAGGAGUCUCCGGGGGAUGGCAGCCUGGCCAGCCGCAGCAGCAGCACCAUCAGUGCCACCAGUGCCACCAGUGCCACCAACGCCUCGGGGCCAGAGGACGAGGAAGAGGAGGAGGAGGAGGAAGAGGAGGGGGGUGAGGAAGGGGGCGAGGAAGGCUCCUGCCCGCCCCCCGACGGCUCCGGCAGCGAGGCCCAGGACGCCCCGCCCCCCGAGGAGGAGGAGGAGGAGCCCCGCGAGGAGGCGGAGCCACAGGAGGAGGGGGCGGAGCCUGAGCCCGGCCCCCUCCCGGAGCCCCCCCAGCCCCACGGGGGCACCCGGCAGGAGGAGGAGGAGGACGCCCCCCCCCCUCCCGGCAGGGGCGGAGCCUCCCUUGGGGGCGGAGCCUGAGCUGGGGGCGGAGCCUCCCGCCGCAGGUGGGCGUGGCCUCCCGUGCUGGGCCGGCUGGGGAGGGGGCGGGGCCCUGCUGGGGGCGGGGCUGGCGCUGGCCCUCGCCCCCCCGGCCUUCCUGCCCCUCCCCCUGCUCCUCCUCCUCCUCCUCCUCCUUUUGGGGCCCCUGCUGGGUCUGAGGCCCCCCCUGGCCCCCCGCCGCCCCCUGCCGGUGCCCCAAAUCCCCCGUUUUUUCCCCCAAAUCCUGCCCCCCCUCCACGUCCCCGCCCUGCUCCUGGCCUCGCGCCUCCUGGCCUCCCCCUGGCUCUUCCUCCCCCUCUACCUCCUGGUGGCCUCCUGCAGGGGCCGGGGGGGGCUCCCCCAUCGCGCCGCCCGCUGGUGGCUGCGGGCGCUGCUGCGCCUCCCCCGGCCCGUUUUUGGGGUGCUGCAGGGGCUGGGCCUGGCCUCGGAGCGGGGCCUCUUCCGCCUCUUCCCCAAGGCCAACAAAUUGGGGGGGGGGUUCCGCUCCCGCCUCCCCGUGCCCCGGCACCCCCGGGACCGCCCCCCGGUAAUUUCGCCCCCCNNNNNNNNNNNNNNNNNNNNNNNNNNNNNNNNNNNNNNNNNNNNNNNNNNNNNNNNNNNNNNNNNNNNNNNNNNNNNNNNNNNNNNNNNNNNNNNNNNNNCCCCCCCCCCCAGCCCCCCCCCAGGAGGCCCUGGAGGUGACGGAGGCCGCGGGGCCACACCAGGCCGUGGUCCCGGCAAGGAGGGGGGGGGCGCCCCAUUUUGGGGACAAAACGCCUGUUUUUGGGACUGAGAGCCCCGUAUUUGGGAACAAGACCCCGCUAUUUGGGGUUAGAGCCCUUUUUUCGGGGUCCAAACCCCCCUUUUUGGGGCUAAAACGUCCCCAUUUUAGGCCUAAGACACCCCGUUUUGAAGCCAAGACCCCCCAUUUGGGGGUUAAGACCACCCAUUUUGGGGUAAAACCCCCCGUUUUGGGGCUCACACCAAACUUCUGGGGUCAAAACCCCCCAUUCUGGGGCCAAGACGCCCAUUUUGGGGCCGGGGGCCUCCCCGUUUUGAGGCCGGGACUGCCAAUUUUGGGUAAAAAACACUCACUUUGAGGCCGGAGACCCCCUUUUUGGGGCCAGAGACCCUCUUUUUGGGGCCGGGGACCCACAUUUUGAGGCGGAGAACCCCCUUUUGGGGUUGGGACCUUCCUUUUUUUGAGACCGGGGACCUCCAUUUUGAGGCCAGAACCCCUAUUUCGGGGACCUCCCUGUUUUUGGGCUGAAAAACCCCGUUUUUGGGGCUGGGGACCCCCCAUUUUGGGGUCAGACAACCCCUUUUUGGGGUCAAGCUCACUCCAAUGGGGCCGAGCCCCCCCCUUUUUACUGCUCCCCUCCCCCCUUUGUACUGGGAGCCCCUUUUUUUAUACUGGGGACCCCCCCUUUGACCUGAGGACCCCCCCCGUGGGGCCGGGGACCCCCUAUUUAUUGCCGCGGGGCCGCGUUUUGGGGCCGUUCCCCUCGGUUUCGGGUUCUCGAUGACUUUCUUCGUCCCCUGCUCCUCGUCUUGCUGCUCUGUCCGGCCGCCGGGGGGGGGGUUGUGUGGUUUUGGGGCUCCCUUUUAGGGAUUUUGGUGGUUUUGAGGCUCCCCAGAGGGAUCUUGGGGGUUUCAAGGCUCCCCUGCAGGGGGGUUGGGUGGUUUCGGGGCUCCCCACAAAGAGAUUGGGUGGUUUUGGGGCUCCUUUUUAGGGAUUUUGGUGGUGUCAGGGCUCCCCAUUGGGGAUUUGGGCAGUUUUGAGGCUCCCCAGA
rnacentral:lncRNA from 1 species